AGAAACUUAGGUUACCCAAACCGAAG
rnacentral:tRNA from 1 species